AUGGCGCGUGGCGAACGGKUGCAGUAAGACAUCGGAACGUGCCCUGUAGUGGGGGAUAACUAGUCGAAAGAUUAGCUAAUACCGCAUACGACCUGAGGGUGAAAGUGGGGGACCGCAAGGCCUCAUGCUAUAGGAGCGGCCGAUGUCUGAUUAGCUAGUUGGUGAGGUAAAGGCUCACCAAGGCGACGAUCAGUAGCUGGUCUGAGAGGACGAUCAGCCACACUGGGACUGAGACACGGCCCAAACUCCUACGGGAGGCAGCAGUGGGGAAUUUUGGACAAUGGGCGAAAGCCUGAUCCAGCAAUGCCGCGUGUGUGAAGAAGGCCUUCGGGUUGUAAAGCACUUUUGUCCGGAAAGAAAUCGCACUUACUAAUACUAGGUGUGGAUGACGGUACCGGAAGAAUAAGGACCGGCUAACUACGUGCCAGCAGCCGCGGUAAUACGUAGGGUCCAAGCGUUAAUCGGAAUUACUGGGCGUAUAGCGUGCGCAGGCGGUUGUGCAAGACCGAUGUAAAAUCCCGGAGCUUAACUUGGGAAUUGCAUUGGUGACUGCACGGCUAGAGUGUGUCAGAGGGGGGUAGAAUUCCACGUGUAGCAGUGAAAUGCGUAUAGAUGUGGAGGAAUACCGAUGGCGAAGGCAGCCCCCUGGGAUAACACCUGACGCUCAUGCACGAAAGCGUGGGGGAGCAAACAGGAUUAGAUACCCUGGUAGUCCACGACCCUAAACGAUGUCAAGCUAGAUUGAUUGGGGGAUUUCAUUUACCUUAGCUAAACGUAGUCGACGCGUGCACGUUGCACCCGCCCUGG
rnacentral:rRNA from 1 species